CCUUUAAAGGUGUCUAUAUGUCUAUAUAGGCCUAAUGGUGUCUAUAUAUGCCUAAAUUUCAUGGGGAAAUCCUGAUUUGUGUUCAUAGUACGGCCCCCGGAGGAUUUUAUGACCAUGGUAGGAAUUUGAAGUGGCCCUUCGAAUGAAAAAGGUUCCCCACCCCUGCAUUAAACCUUUCUUCUAGCCACAGCUCUGCUGUCAGUACAUUUUAUUAUGAUACUAUAAGCUCAGAAAUGAAGUUGAUCAAACAAUUCGAUCGGUGCUAUAAACAUUUAAAUGAACCGAAUAGAAAUCAGAAUAGAAACAUCUGAAUGAUCUUUCUUGGACAUAGCCUACAUUUUGAAGUGACCCUUGGAAUUAAAAAGGUUCCUCACCCCUGCUUUUGAGGAAAAACAUCAAUGUGCUUGGCCACUCUGGUUUUUAAAUUAUUCUGAACUAGCAAGGAUUGUUCAAGGAAGUUCAAAACAGACUGUCUCUGGUUAAAUUAGUUCUACACCAAGCCUUUAGGUGGCAGUACAACUAAUUCGCACAAUGCGAAUUCCACACACAAGCCACAAAGAAGCCAUCUACCGCGGUCAUCAACAACACCGACCUAUCUGAACAGCACCACGCGCUGUCUGUGUGGUUUCACUGUUACAAGUUUCUUGGCGAUAUGGGGGAAAGUUCCUCACAUACCAACGGAAAAUGGGCUUCACAUACAUGCUGCUGUCUCAUAAUAUGGCGAAGACGAGUCACUUGAAGGCCUAACAGCUCUUAUGAGGAGCAGUCUUGCCAUAGAAGACUGAAAGCAUGUAAGAUUAACUUCUUUGUGACCAAUAUGACUUGCUCAUUGAUACAUUAGCUAUGUCAAUAUGAGAUGCAUGGCGAAGUAUUUAAUUUAUUUGUCUCUCUUCUAGGAGCUGUAGAAACAACAGGGUGCCUGCUGCAGUAUGACGAGGACGCCCUGAUCAUAGAAGGUCCAGUGUCUUGGCAGGGUGAAAUGGCACUGAUAUCGUGUCCUGCAGGAUGCUGUGUCCUGCAAUCCUGUGUGCUGUGCUACAGACGCGUGUGGAGGUCAACCCGAAAUGGGCACAGUAGAGUGAAAGAGGAUCCUGGCAGGGAGACGGUAGUGUCCUGCAGGAUGGUGAUGGGCAAUCUUACAAGAGACCACAGAAAACUGAUAUAGUCUCCCAGAAGUGAGACUGAGUGCUUGUUGCAGUAUGACGAGGAAGCAGUGACCAGAGACCUUCAGUAGACCCUGCUGGCAUGAUUGGCGGCUGAAGAACAUAAUCAACAGCAAUGUUUACUUUAUAAUAUUGUACAUACCUGUAUAGUCUGCACUAAAAUGCUGUACCUGUACUAUUUUUCCUCUUACUUUAAUAUUUACCACGUAUUUACUAUGAAUUGACAACUUUUACUCAAAUCCAUUUUUGUAUGUGCCCUGACUAAAACUAUCCUUAAACCUAACCUGUCAGAGGUGUAAUAACAACCUGCUCUUAGCAAUGUGGCAGCAGUCUACUUGGAUGCAGCGGGGAACAUAGAACCCUUUUUUUGAAAAAGCAUUGUAUGUUUCUGAGUUUUAUGAAUUGUGCCCUUCCCAAACCUAACCUGUCGUAGGGGCCUAUGAAAUCCGUUUUAUUUUUCCUCAUUCAGUUUUUUUCUGAUUUAUUUUUUGCCAAAUUGUUUUUUUUUUUUUUUUUACAUUUUUGAACUUAUUUUCCCCUUUCAU